ACCCAAUUCACUCCCUUUUUAAUUCUUUCUCCUGGUGUGUCUGCUCCACCGCCGGAGCUAAUCCCCCAAAUCCGGUCUCCUAAGCCGCAGCUGCUUCCCUUCGCAGUGAUGAAUGGCUCGGGGAGGGAAGGGCAGGCCCAGGGGCAGAGGAAGGGCAGAGAAGUGAGCUGGAGGCAUCUGCGGAUGGCUGAGGCCAAGGAGACCUCAGUGAGUGUUUGGAGAAAGGGAUACUUUCACAGAUUGAGAGCUGGUCUUCUGAAGCCCCCUCCCAUGCCGCAGAUACCAGAGGGGCCCCUGCUGCCUGUGAUGAGGGUUGUGUCAGCCAGAGGUGGGACACAACAUGCCCAGCUGGGGUAAAUCCAGCCUCAGCCCCUACCUCAGACUGACUUUUGUGCCAGGGAAGAAAGCAUACCCUUACCCUUACAUUCUUACCUCCCAAGCCCUUUGCCCAGCAUAGGUGCUCAAUAAAAUAGCCUGUUGGCUAAAAGAAC